rnacentral:rRNA from 1 species
UACGGAGGGGGCAAGCGUUGUUCGGAAUUACUGGGCGUAAAGGGCUCGUAGGCGGCCAAUUAAGUCAGACGUGAAAUCCCUCAGCUUAACUGGGGAACUGCGUCUGAUACUGGAUGGCUUGAGUUUGGGAGAGGGACGCGGAAUUCCAGGUGUAGCGGUGAAAUGCGUAGAUAUCUGGAGGAACACCGGUGGCGAAGGCGGCAUCCUGGACCAACACUGACGCUGAGGAGCGAAAGCCAGGGGAGCAAACAGG